GACGAACGCUGGCGGCGUGCUUAACACAUGCAAGUCGAACGGAAAGGCCCUGCUUUUGUGGGGUGCUCGAGUGGCGAACGGGUGAGUAACACGUGAGUAACCUGCCCUUGACUUUGGAUAACUUCAGGAAACCGGGGCUAAUACCGGAUAGGAGCUCCUGCCGCCUGGUGGGGGUUGGAAAGUUUCGGCGGUUGGGGAUGGACUCGCGGCUUAUCAGCUUGUUGGUGGGGUAGUGGCUUACCAAGGCUUUGACGGGUAGCCGGCCUGAGAGGGUGACCGGCCACAUUGGGACUGAGAUACGGCCCAGACUCCUACGGGAGGCAGCAGUGGGGAAUAUUGCACAAUGGGCGGAAGCCUGAUGCAGCAACGCCGCGUGCGGGAUGACGGCCUUCGGGUUGUAAACCGCUUUCGCCUGUGACGAAGCGUGAGUGACGGUAAUGGGUAAAGAAGCACCGGCUAACUACGUG
rnacentral:rRNA from 1 species